UACGAAGGGGGCUAGCGUUGUUCGGAUUUACUGGGCGUAAAGCGCACGUAGGCGGAUCGUUAAGUCGGGGGUGAAAUCCUGGAGCUCAACUCCAGAACUGCCUUUGAUACUGAAGAUCUUGAGUCCGGGAGAGGUGAGUGGAACUGCGAGUGUAGAGGUGAAAUUCGUAGAUAUUCGCAAGAACACCAGUGGCGAAGGCGGCUCACUGGCCCGGUACUGACGCUGAGGCACGAAAGCGUGGGGAGCAAACAGG
rnacentral:rRNA from 1 species